rnacentral:rRNA from 1 species
UGCGUAGGCGGCAUUAUAAGUCAGAGGUGAAAGCCAGCAGCUUAACUGUUGAAUUGCCUUUGAUACUGUAAUGCUUGAAUCAGGUUGAGGUAGGCGGAAUGUGACAUGUAGCGGUGAAAUGCAUAGAUAUGUCAUAGAACACCAAUUGCGAAGGCAGCUUACUGGACCUGUAUUGACACUGAGGCACGAGAGCGUGGGGAGCGAACAGGAUUAGAUACCCUGGUAGUCC